rnacentral:ribozyme from 13 species
AAGAAGAACGAAGAAGAAAAGAAAGGGCAAAACGAGAGAGGAAAAGGGCCGUGACUCCCACACCUCCGCAUUGAAACCCUCUUUUUGCGUCCAGUGGCUCCAGUUUUUGCUUUUUUUCUUUUUCUUCUUUUUCUUCUUCU